CCCCUUUUCAUGCGCGCUGGGAAAGCCUAUAUGAGGGUUGCCGGACCUCGGUCCGGCUAUGGCAAUAAACGGCCGGUGUAAUAAACCUAUUGGACCCGGGGGCGGUACCCGGCGCCUCCACCAAAAACCGGUCGGUCGCAUUGGGAAACCUUGCAGACCGGCUUUUGAUGGGGGCGAAAUAGGAUCGACAAGGGCUUAAAGAUCGAACUUUUGCUCGGCAUGAUACCACCGUUAUCGGGUCAAAAAGUGUAGUUGCAAACGACAACAACGCUAAGGGUUAUGCUCUCGCUGCCUAAUGGCGGUGCGGGAAAUCCGAACUAAGUCCUUGGAGGUAGCACUUUAAGGCGGGGUCCGAAGGCACCUGGCAACAGAAGCCUUCACC
rfam:Rhizobium sp. CF080 ctg7, whole genome shotgun sequence.